rnacentral:rRNA from 1 species
AUACGGAGGGUGCGAACGUUAAUCGGAAUUACUGGGCGUAAAGCGUACGUAGGCGGUUUGUUAAGUGGGAUGUGAAAGCCCCGGGCUUAACCUGGGAAUUGCGUUCCAAACUGACAAGCUAGAGUAUGGUAGAGGAAGGUAGAAUUCCCUGUGUAGCGGUGAAAUGCGUAGAUAUAGGGAGGAAUACCAGUGGCGAAGGCGGCCUUCUGGACCAAUACUGACGCUGAGGUACGAAAGCGUGGGGAGCAAACAGGAUUAGAAACCCUAGUAGUCC